rnacentral:snRNA from 18 species
AGCCUUACGCAAGGGGAGAUAUCGUUACAAAUGACGCUCAGCGGAUGUGCGAUUUCUGCUAGUUGAAAACUACACCAAUUUAAACUUCUAUUAUUCUAUUCUCUAAUAGAUUAAUGGCAAUUUCUGGGGCCCUCUAGGGC